AAUAUAUUCUAGUCAAAAUAACCGUCAGAUUAUUAUUAAAAAAUUGGAGUAGCAAAUAUUACAGAAGGAAAUAGCGAUGUCUUAGAAAAUAUUAAGAUAUUUUCCAAAAAUAAACACUUUUUAAAAAAACCACGAUAAAAUACUUCCCGGUGGUCAACUAUUUUUCUGGUACACGUUAAUCGGUAUGAACUUCAUGAAAUAAUUUUAAUUUUCCACUCGAAAACUGACGUGAACAUUAAAAAAAAAAAAAAACAGGAUUAUAAAAAACACCUACUAUUUUUAAAUACCCACGAUUUUACGAAAUUGGCUGACAGAAGAAUUCGUUUAAAAAAAAAAAAAAUCCAUGGAAGAAUUGUAAAUUCUCUGAGGAACAAUCAAAUAGACUCUGAAAAUUUGCUGUUUAUCAAUUACUUAUGAUUAUCGCGUGUAUAAAAUACUUAAAAGUUCAUGCUUUGUGUUCAAUUCACAAUUAGAGGCUCAACAGAUUUCAUUCAUUUUAUCGCUGAUGAAUUUUCCAGUUCAAUGCGUUCGAAAUAAUAAUAAUGGAAAACCUAAUCAGACAUUUGAGUUCUGAGCUUCAUGCCAUACCGUGUUUUUUAAACGAUAACAAUACUGUUGUCACGUUGGAAUUAAAAUCGGCGUGAAAAAUAUAAGGCAAGUGAAAAGGAUUUUUUUUUCAGGGAGAAAUUAGCCAAUUAUACACCUAAAUUACUCUUCGCUUUUUAUUUAAUAACGAUUUCCAAAUUCAUUUAAGCAAUUGGUUUUUUUAUAAUUU